GACGAACGCUGGCGGCGUGCUUAACACAUGCAAGUCGAACGAAGUGGCGAACGGGUGAGUAACGCGUAAUCAACCUGCCCGUCAGAGGGGGACAACAGUUGGAAACGACUGCUAAUACAGCAUACUGAAGGAGGGGAAUGCGUCUGAUUAGCUAGUUGGCGGGGUAACGGCCCCCCAAGUCGAUGAUCAGUAGCCGUGCUGAGAGGAUUAACGGCCACGUUGGGACUGAUACACGGCCCAGUCUCCUACGGGAGGCAGCAGUGGGGAAUCUUCCGCAAUGGACGAAAGUCUGACGGAGCAACGCCGCGUGAGUGAUGACGGCCUUCGGGUUGUAAAGCUCUGUUAAUCGGGACGCGGUACCGGAAUAGAAAGCCACGGCUAACUACGUGCCAGCAGCCGCGGUAAUAC
rnacentral:rRNA from 1 species